GAUGAACGCUGGCGGCGUGCCUAAUACAUGCAAGUCGAGCGAAUGGAUUAAGAGCUUGCUCUUAUGAAGUUAGCGGCGGACGGGUGAGUAACACGUGGGUAACCCGCCCAUAAGACUGGGAUAACUCCGGGAAACCGGGGCUAAUACCGGAUAACAUUUUGAACCGCAUGGUUCGAAAUUGAAAGGCGGCUUCGGCUGUCACUUACGGAUGGACCCGCGUCGCAUUAGCUAGUUGGUGAGGUAACGGCUCACCAAGGCAACGAUGCGUAGCCGACCUGAGAGGGUGAUCGGCCACACUGGGACUGAGACACGGCCCAGACUCCUCCGGGAGGCAGCAGUAGGGAAUCUUCCGCAAUGGACGAAAGUCUGACGGAGCAACGCCGCGUGAGUGAUGAAGGCUUUCGGGUCGUAAAACUCUGUUGUUAGGGAAGAACAAGUGCUAGUUGAAUAAGCUGGCACCUUGACGGUACCUAACCAGAAAGCCACGGCUAACUACGUGCCAGCCGCCGCCGUAA
rnacentral:rRNA from 1 species